CCCGCUGAACUUAAGCAUAUCAAUAAGCGGAGGAAAAGAAACUAACAAGGAUUCCCCUAGUAACUGCGAGUGAAGCGGGAAGAGCUCAAAUUUAAAAUCUGGCGUGCCUCCGGUCGUCCGAGUUGUAGUCUAGAGAAGCGUUUUCCGUGUUGGACCGUGUAUAAGUCCCUUGGAACAGGGCGUCAUAGAGGGUGAGAAUCCCGUCUUUGACACGGACUACCAAUGCUUUGUGAUGCGCUCUCAAAGAGUCGAGUUGUUUGGGAAUGCAGCUCAAAAUGGGUGGUAAAUUCCAUCUAAAGCUAAAUACAGGCGAGAGACCGAUAGCGAACAAGUACCGUGAGGGAAAGAUGAAAAGCACUUUGGAAAGAGAGUUAAACAGUACGUGAAAUUGCUGAAAGGGAAACGCUUGAAGUCAGUCGCGUCUGCCAGGACUCAGCCUUGCUUCUGCUUGGUGCACUUUCUGGUCGGAUGGGCCAACAUCAAUUUCAACCGUUGGAAAAAGGCCUUGGGAAUGUGGCACCUUCGGGUGUGUUAUAGCCCUCGGUCGUAUGCAACGGUUGGGAUUGAGGACCGCAGCACGCCUUCAUGGCCGGGGUUCGCCCACGUACGUGCUUAGGAUGUUGGCAUAAUGGCUUUAAGCGACCCGUCUUGAAACACGG
rnacentral:rRNA from 1 species